UCGUUUUGCUUUCGUUUAUGUUCAUGUUGUGGUUAGAGUCUGUCCACAUGUUUACUUUCAUAAUGGAUGUCUAGAACGUAUCUACCCAUAUAAUCUACACAUCUACCAGUAUAAUUAUGGUGGGAAACACUCAUGCAGGAAAUGUCCUAUAGGCCGGUCUGCUUGUAUAUAAGGCUGUAUACAGUCUCUUGCUGUCAGUUGAAUUUCCUGAAUUUUAAGCAUUGCUGCUAAUUGUUCCUGCUGCAUGCUUGACAAGUUGAAGUCCAAUUUUGUAAAGUUUUGGGAUCUGAUUACUUGACUGUGUUUUGGAAAUCAUGAAACCUGAAGGUAAAAAUUGGCUCUUUGCUAUCGUGAUCUUUGGGGAUAUGAUUCAAACUUUUGUAUUGGAAUUGAUUGCAAUAUUGUAUCGAUCGGAAUGUUUGGUAUCUCCACUAGCAUGUGCUGUGUCAUCAACAUCUGCUAAUGGUACUUGUGUGCCUGCACCUGCUAAUGGGACUUGUAUAUAUGUGGCUAUAGCAACUGUUGUCCUAUUCUCCGUUAUCAGCUUAUCGGCUAUUGUUCCAGGAAUUACUUAUCUUUGUAUAAUGGAUGUUAAAGAGUGUCAGCCGUGUAAUGAUGUUGAGGACAAGUGUCAGCAUUAUAUUGAUGUGAUACUAUCACGUGUGUACACUUUGUUUGGUCCAAUUCUCUACUAUUAUGGAGACAAUGUCUCCAAGGUGGUUGACUUGGGUGACACAUUAGGUUGUUCAGCCGAUUGUCAGCGUGUAUUGAGAAUAUCUGGAGUAGCUGCACUUUUUUUGUUUCUACUUAUGAAUAUUUUGAUUGGCAGGAUUUCAAAAAGUAAAGAAUCAAAACUUAAUAGUAAAUGGUGGGGACCAGUUGCGGACAUGAUUGUUGAAUUACUUCCCCUUUAUAUUUUAUACACUGCUUUCCUUCGCAUAGCUCGCAGCAAUAUGAUAUUCACGUCAACUACAUUUUGCAGCGCAGUCGAUGGAGUUUUUUGGGGGGUAGUUUUUGUAAUUAUAUUUAUUUAUACAGCACUUUCAAUUCGCUAUAGUUUCAAGAAGUUUAAUAAAAAAGAAAAGUCACCCAAAGGAUAUAAACACUUUGUUUGUGGUUCUGGUAUUCUGGUAUUUUUUGGUUUUUUAGUCUACCUCGUAGUAGACAACUCUCUGCCGUUAGACUUUUUCCUUUGUUUGUGUUCUAACAAUAUUGCUUUAAUAGUACAUAUUGUGAGAUGUGCUCUAGCCAUUAUUUGUGUCACAGCUGUAUUUCUCUUUUGUGUAGUGGGUCAAUGUAAGUGCUCCAACAAAAUAUAUUCGGCUCAAUUUAAGGUGUUGAAGAAGAAAUUGAAGGAGAAAUUGAAGGAGAUUUUGAAGGUGAAACUGAAGAAUAUAUUUAAGGCGGAGAUAUUGAAGACGAAAAAUGAGGAAGAAAAGAAGAAGAAAUUGAAGGCGAAAUUGAAGAAGAAAUUGAAGAAGAAAUUGAAAGAUGAAUUGAAAGAUAAAUUGAAAGAUAAAUUGAAAAAUAAAUUGGGCCGCUUAGAAUCAAAUAAAUCAAGAAUUAUAUUAGUGGUUACACCUGAGGCACAUUCUAUAGCAGCCGAAUUGGUGGUUAAUAUGGUGGAUAAAUCGAAACACUCAGUGAUGAGUGAAUUAGUGGAUAAAUUGGUGGGUGAAUCAGUGAAUGAAUUGGUGGAUGAAUCAGUGGAUGAAGUGGUGGAUAAAUCAGUGGAUGAAGUGGUGGAUGAAUCAGUGGAUGAAGUGGUGGAUGAAGUGGUGGAUGAAUCAGUGGAUGAAUCAGUGGAUGAAUUGGUAGAUGAAUUAGUGAAUAAAUUGGUAGAUGAAUUAGUGAAUAAAUUGGUAGAUGAAUCAACGAUAAAGAGCCGUAAUUGUUGCUGAACUAUUCAAAUAGACAGGCAGUCAUAGAAGUACUGUGGAGUAAAAGACAAGCAGCCUAAUUAUAGUAUUUUUUCCAACUGUAUAUUUUGUGGAUUCAUAAUUCUGAUUACAUAAUUGAAUGUGAGGAGGUUGUGAUUUAACCUUUUUCAACA